rfam:Trichobilharzia regenti genome assembly, scaffold: TRE_scaffold0016701
GUACUGCUGAAGAGUCACAAACUAGGACGAAACAGCUGUCCAGUAC